UACGAAGGGGGCUAGCGUUGCUCGGAAUCACUGGGCGUAAAGGGUGCGUAGGCGGGUCUUUUAAGUCAGGGGUGAAAUCCUGGAGCUCAACUCCAGAACUGCCUUUGAUACUGAAGAUCUUGAGUUCGGGAGAGGUGAGUGGAAUUCCCAGUGUAGAGGUGAAAUUCGUAGAUAUUGGGAAGAACACCGGUGGCGAAGGCGGCUCACUGGCUCGUAUCUGACGCUCAGGCGCGACAGCGUGGGGACUCAAACAGG
rnacentral:rRNA from 1 species